UACGUAUGGAGCGAGCGUUAUCCGGAUUCACUGGGCGUAAAGGGAGCGUAGGCGGCCCGUUAAGUCUGAUGUGAAAACCCGCGGCCCAACCGCGGGACUGCAUUGGAAACUGACGGGCUAGAGUGUCGGAGGGGCAAGCGGAAUUCCUGGUGUAGCGGUGAAAUGCAUAGAUAUCAGGAGGAACACCGGUGGCGAAGGCGGCUUGCUGGACGACUACUGACGCUGAGACUCGAAAGCGUGGGGAGCAAAC
rnacentral:rRNA from 1 species